rnacentral:rRNA from 1 species
CGGUGGGCGCUAGGUGUGAGUCCCUUCCACGGGGUUCGUGCCGUAGCUAACGCAUUAAGCGCCCCGCCUGGGGAGUACGGCCGCAAGGCUAAAACUCAAAGGAAUUGACGGGGGCCCGCACAAGCGGCGGAGCAUGUGGAUUAAUUCGAUGCAACGCGAAGAACCUUACCUGGGCUUGACAUACACCGGAUCGGGCUAGAGAUAGUCUUUCCCUUGUGCUGGUGUACAGGUGGUGCAUGGCUGUCGUCAG